CAGUAGCCGCGGUAAAACGGAGGGUGCAAGCGUUAAUCGGAAUUACUGGGCGUAAAGCGCACGCAGGCGGUCUGACAAGUCAGAUGUGAAAUCCCCGGGCUUAACCUGGGAACUGCAUUUGAAACUGUCAGGCUGGAGUCUUGUAGAGGGGGGUGGAAUUCCAGGUGUAGCGGUGAAAUGCGUAGAGAUCUGGAGGAAUACCGGUGGCGAAGGCGGCCCCCUGGACAAAGACUGACGCUCAGGUGCGAAAGCGUGGGGAGCAAACAGGAUUAGAUACCCGCGUAGUCCCUGUCUCUUAUAC
rnacentral:rRNA from 1 species